GACGAACGCUGGCGGCGUGCUUAACACAUGCAAGUCGAACGGAGCGAAUGAAAGCUUGCUUUUAUAAGCUUAGUGGCAAACGGGUGAGUAACACGUAGACAACCUGCCGACAGGAUGGGGACAACAUUCCGAAAGGAAUGCUAAUACCGAAUGAAGUCGAGGGAAGGCAUCUUCCUUCGAUGAAAGAUGGCCUCUAUAUAUAAGCUAUCACCUGUUGAUGGGUCUGCGUCUGAUUAGCUGGUAGGUGAGGUAACGGCUCACCUAGGCGACGAUCAGUAGCCGGUCUGAGAGGAUGAACGGCCACAUUGGGACUGAGACACGGCCCAGACUCCUACGGGAGGCAGCAGUGGGGAAUCUUCCGCAAUGGGCGCAAGCCUGACGGAGCAACGCCGCGUGAGUGAAGAAGGUCUUCGGAUCGUAAAGCUCUGUUGAUGGGGACGAACGUGCCUAAUGCGAAUAGUUUUAGGUAAGACGGUACC
rnacentral:rRNA from 1 species